AUACGGAGGAUGCAAGCGUUAUCCGGAUUUAUUGGGUUUAAAGGGUGCGUAGGCGGUUUGCUAAGCGGGAGGUGAAAUGCCGGCGCUCAACGUCGGAAGUGCCUCCCGAACUGGUGGACUUGAAUGACUCUGCCGUGGGAGGAAUGUGCAGUGUAGCGGUGAAAUGCUUAGAGAUUACACAGAACACCGAUUGCGAAGGCAUCUCACGAAGGGUUGAUUGACGCUGAGGCACGAAAGCGUGGGGAUCAAACAGGAUUAGAUACCCUGGUAGUCCACGCAGUAAACGAUGAUGGCUAACCGCUGGGCUUAUCAGUUCGGUGGCCAAGCGAAAGCGAUAAGCCAUCCACCUGGGGAGUACGACCGCAAGGUUGAAACUCAAAGGAAUUGACGGGG
rnacentral:rRNA from 1 species